AUUGAACGCUGGCGGCAGGCCUAACACAUGCAAGUCGAGCGGAUGAGUGGAGCUUGCUCCAUGAUUCAGCGGCGGACGGGUGAGUAAUGCCUAGGAAUCUGCCUGGUAGUGGGGGACAACGUUUCGAAAGGAACGCUAAUACCGCAUACGUCCUACGGGAGAAAGUGGGGGAUCUUCGGACCUCACGCUAUCAGAUGAGCCUAGGUCGGAUUAGCUAGUUGGUGAGGUAAAGGCUCACCAAGACACCGAUCCGUAACUGGUCUGAGAGGAUGAUCAGUCACACUGGAACUGAGACACGGUCCAGACUCCUACGGGAGGCAGCAGUGGGGAAUAUUGGACAAUGGGCGAAAGCCUGAUCCAGCCAUGCCGCGUGUGUGAAGAAGGUCUUCGGAUUGUAAAGCACUCUAAGUUGGGAGGAAGGGCAGUAAGUUAAUACCUUGCUGUUUUGACGUUACCAACAGAAUAAGCACCGGCUAACUUCGUGCCAGCCGCCGCCGUAACAC
rnacentral:rRNA from 1 species